rnacentral:rRNA from 1 species
CCUACGGGUGGCAGCAGUGGGGAAUAUUACACAAUGGGGGAAACCCUGAUGCAGCGACGCCGCGUGAGUGAAGAAGUAUUUCGGUAUGUAAAGCUCUAUCAGCAGGAACGAGACAAGACGGUACCUGACUGAGAAGCCCCGGCUAAAAACGUGCCAGCAGCCGCGGUAAUACGUAGGGGGCAAGCGUUCGCCGGAAUCACUGGGGGGAAAGGGAGCGUAGGCGGCUGUGCAAGCCUGAAGUGAAAGGCGGGGGCCCAACCCCUGGUCUGCUUUGGAAACUGUACGGCUGGAGUGCAGGAGGGGUGAGUGGAAUUCCUAGUGUAGCGGUGAAAUGCGUAGAUAUUAGGAGGAACACCAGUGGCGAAGGCGGCUUACUGGACUGUAACUGACGUUGAGGCUCGAAAGCGUGGGGAGCAAACAGGAUUAGAUACCCCUGUAGUC